UACGUAGGGCGCAAGCGUUGUCCGGAAUUAUUGGGCGUAAAGAGCUUGUAGGCGGUUUGUCGCGUCUGCCGUGAAAGCCCAGGGCUUAACCCUGGGUCUGCGGUGGGUACGGGCAGACUAGAGUGUGGUAGGGGAGACUGGAAUUCCUGGUGUAGCGGUGAAAUGCGCAGAUAUCAGGAGGAACACCGGUGGCGAAGGCGGGUCUCUGGGCCGAUACUGACGCUGAGGAGCGAAAGCGUGGGGAGCGAACAGG
rnacentral:rRNA from 1 species